CCUACGGGAGGCAGCAGUGGGGAAUCUUGCGCAAUGGGCGAAAGCCUGACGCAGCAACGCCGCGUGAGGGACGAAGGCCUCUGGGCUGUAAACCUCUUUUCUCAAGGAAGAAGAUAUGACGGUACUUGAGGAAUAAGCCACGGCUAAUUCCGUGCCAGCAGCCGCGGUAAUACGGGAGUGGCAAGCGUUAUCCGGAAUUAUUGGGCGUAAAGCGUCCGCAGGCGGCUUUUCAAGUCUGCUGUUAAAGCGUGGAGCUUAACUCCAUCAUGGCAGUGGAAACUGAAAGGCUUGAGUAUGGUAGGGGCAGAGGGAAUUCCCGGUGUAGCGGUGAAAUGCGUAGAUAUCGGGAAGAACACCAGUGGCGAAAGCGCUCUGCUGGGCCAUUACUGACGCUCAUGGACGAAAGCCAGGGGAGCGAAAGGGAUUAGAUACCCCUGUAGUCCUGGCCG
rnacentral:rRNA from 1 species